rnacentral:rRNA from 1 species
AUUGAACGCUGGCGGCAUGCCUUACACAUGCAAGUCGAACGGUAACAGGGAGCUUGCUCCGCUGACGAGUGGCGAACGGGUGAGUAAUGUAUCGGAACGUACCUUUCAGUGGGGGAUAACGUAGCGAAAGUUACGCUAAUACCGCAUAUUCUGUGAGCAGGAAAGCAGGGGAUCGCAAGACCUUGCGCUGAUUGAGCGGCCGAUAUCAGAUUAGCUAGUUGGUGAGGUAAAGGCUCACCAAGGCGACGAUCUGUAGCGGGUCUGAGAGGAUGAUCAGCCACACUGGAACUGAGACACGGUCCAGACUCCUACGGGAGGCAGCAGUGGGGAAUUUUGGACAAUGGGGGCAACCCUGAUCCGGCCAUGCCGCGUGAGUGAAGAAGGCCUUCGGGUUGUAAAGCUCUUUCGGCCGGGAAGAAAUCGCAUGGGUUAAUACCCUGUGCGGAUGACGGUACCGGCAUAAGAAGCACCGGCUAACUACGUGCCAGCCGCCGCGGUAACAC